rnacentral:rRNA from 1 species
UACGAAGGGGGCUAGCGUUGUUCGGAAUUACUGGGCGUAAAGCGUGCGCAGGCGGUUUUGUAAGUUUGUCGUGAAAUCCCCGGGCUCAACCUGGGAAUUGCGAUGAAGACUGCAAGGCUUGAAUCUGGCAGAGGGGGGUAGAAUUCCACGUGUAGCAGUGAAAUGCGUAGAGAUGUGGAGGAACACCGAUGGCGAAGGCAGCCCCCUGGGUCAAGAUUGACGCUCAUGCACGAAAAGCGUGGGGAGCAAACAGG